GACGAACGCUGGCGGCGUGCUUAACACAUGCAAGUCGAACGGAAAGGCCCUGCUUGCAGGGUACUCGAGUGGCGAACGGGUGAGUAACACGUGGGUUAUCUGCCCUGCACUUCGGGAUAAGCCUGGGAAACUGGGUCUAAUACCGGAUAGGAGCCAUUUUUAGUGUGAUGGUUGGGAAGUUUUUUCGGUGUAUGAUGAGCUCGCGGCCUAUCGGCUUGUUGGUGGGGUAAUGUCCUACCAAGGCGGCGGCGGGUAGCCGGCCUGAGAGGGUGGACAGCCACAUUGGGACUGAGAGACGGCCCAGGCUCCUACGGGAGGCAGCUGUGGGGAAUAUUGAAGAAUGGGCGCAAGCCUGAUGCAGCGACGCCGCGGAGGGGAUGACGGCCUUAGGGUUGUAAACUCCUUUCGCUAGGGACGAAGCUUGUUGUGACGGUACCUAGAUAAGAAGCACCGGCUAACUACGUG
rnacentral:rRNA from 1 species